AAAAAUUCACCCCUGCUUCCACCAGUAGUAGAAUUUGUAGCUAGUGUGUCUGGACCAGGGUGAUACAAGCAUCACAGGAGAGUGGAGAGCUAGUGUUAAAGACAAGUCCCUAAAAUGGGCAGAAGCAGUGGCAGAUCUUGGCAGUUAAGAGCACGGGUUCCCAUGAGUUCUGGAUUUGAAUCCUGGCUGACCACUUGUGAGCUCUACAAUCUCAGGGCAAAGCCCUCCUGUUCCCAGCCCCAAGUCGGUUAAACCCAUGUUAAAUCUAUAGGUUGAAGACCUGGAUCAUUCGAAGCCCAGAGCCUUGCACAGCAGCGAUCUGCUCCAACAGAGGGUGAUGUCAUCAUCCGAGGCCACACAAAUAAUGCAUUUCUCACCAUCAAAAAGCUUCUGAAGCCAUGUUCUCAAAGGCAAAAAAUAAAUAAAUAAAUAACCAAUUAACU
rnacentral:lncRNA from 1 species